UACGUAGGUGACCAGCGUUGUCCGGAUUUACUGGGCGUAAAGAGCGCGCAGGCGGUCGUUCAAGUCGAGUGUGAAAGCCCCCGGCUCAACUGGGGAGGGUCACUCGAUACUGAUCGACUUGAAGGCAGGAGAGGGAAGCGGAAUUCCCGGUGUAGUGGUGAAAUGCGUAGAUAUCGGGAGGAACACCCGUGGCGAAGGCGGCUCUCUGGGACGGUACUGACGCUGAGACGCGAAAGCGUGGGGAGCGAACAGG
rnacentral:rRNA from 1 species